rnacentral:piRNA from 1 species
UCUCCAUGUGAGAUAAUUCUCAGGGUGGACU